rnacentral:rRNA from 1 species
GAUGAACGCUGGCGGCGUGCCUAAUACAUGCAAGUCGAGCGAACAGACGAGGAGCUUGCUCCUCUGACGUUAACGGCGGACGGGUGAGUAACACGUGGAUAACCUACCUAUAAGACUGGGAUAACUUCGGGAAACCGGAGCUAAUACCGGAUAAUAUAUUGAACCGCAUGGUUCAAUAGUGAAAGACGGUUUUGCUGUCACUUAUAGAUGGAUCCGCGCCGCAUUAGCUAGUUGGUAAGGUAACGGCUUACCAAGGCAACCAUGCGUAGCCGACCUGAGAGGGUGAUCGGCCACACUGGAACUGAGACACGGUCCAGACUCCUACGGGAGGCAGCAGUAGGGAAUCUUCCGCAAUGGGCGAAAGCUUGACGGAGCAACGCCGCGUGAGGGAUGAAGGUCUUCGGAUCGUAAAACUCGGUUAUUAGGGAAGAACAAAUGUGUAAGUAACUAUGCACGUCUUGACGGUACCUAAUCAGAAAGCCACGGCUAACUACGUG